rnacentral:rRNA from 1 species
AUGCGGGAGGACGAGUUAUUGUGUGAUGCAUGGUUGACCACUAGCCUCAAUCCGAUCCAUGACAUGGAGCAAAAGGGAAUAACUUUUUCGGCCAACAUUCACACAUGAUUCCAUGAACACAAGCAUUUGCCCUACUCCGACGUGGUCAUUCGUAACAGUGAAUAAAAGUCCAUCAACCAUAGAUGGUACACCAUCCAAGAGGUCGUCGAAUAUUGCGGCCACUUGGCACAUCUCAUCGCAUAGUGUCCUAGUGGUGCGCAAAUCACCGAGCAAGUAAGUUCAUUUGCUGGAUAUGCAUAG